GACGAACGCUGGCGGCGUGCCUAAUACAUGCAAGUAGAACGCUGAAGGAGGAGCUUGCUUCUCUGGAUGAGUUGCGAACGGGUGAGUAACGCGUAGGUAACCUGCCUGGUAGCGGGGGAUAACUAUUGGAAACGAUAGCUAAUACCGCAUAAUAGUAGAUGUUGCAUGACAUUUGCAUAAAAGGUGCAAUUGCAUCACUACCAGAUGGACCUGCGUUGUAUUAGCUAGUUGGUGGAGUAACGGCUCACCAAGGCGACGAUACAUAGCCGACCUGAGAGGGUGAUCGGCCACACGGGGACUGAGACACGGCCCAAACUCCUACGGGAGGCAGCGGUAGGGAAUCUUCGGCAAUGGACGGAAGUCUGACCGAGCAACGCCGCGUGAGUGAAGAAGGUUUUCGGAUCGUAAAGCUCUGUUGUAAGAGGAGAACGAGUGUGAGAGUGGAAAGUUCACACUGUGACGGUAACUUACCAGAAAGGGACGGCUGACUACGUG
rnacentral:rRNA from 1 species